rnacentral:rRNA from 2 species
GGACGAACGCUGGCGGCGUGCCUAAUACAUGCAAGUCGAACGCUUCUUUCCUCCCGAGUGCUUGCACUCAAUUGGAAAGAGGAGUGGCGGACGGGUGAGUAACACGUGGGUAACCUACCCAUCAGAGGGGGAUAACACUUGGAAACAGGUGCUAAUACCGCAUAACAGUUUAUGCCGCAUGGCAUAAGAGUGAAAGGCGCUUUCGGGUGUCGCUGAUGGAUGGACCCGCGGUGCAUUAGCUAGUUGGUGAGGUAACGGCUCACCAAGGCCACGAUGCAUAGCCGACCUGA